AUAUUUCAACAAAAUGCAUGGCACCGCCAUAAAUUAUCAUCCCUCUGCCAGACGACACAAAUCUUGCGCCUUUUACCUGAAUUGAGACGUUUUGGACCGACCGAGAAAAAAUCUCACAGAAUAAUUAAAUGAUAAUAAUAAUAAUAAUAAUGUUUAUUAACGGCCACGCCAAGUACAAGUGAUAGAUAAAAUACAAAGAUAAAUUGAUAUAUAAAAUACAAACACAGAUAGGUACAAUACAGUUAAUAUAAAAUAAAGUGUUAAUUAUUAAAAGAGCUAAGUUCACUAUGUUCAAUAACAGUUUUUAAAUCUUUUAGAAAUCUAUUUUUAGACAGCCUAGAAGAUACAGAAUUUUUCCCAUAAUUGGUACGGUGGUAAGACACUACAAGCAUUCUCGGCUCUCUAACGUUACAAACGGGUAUAUUUAUUGAAAAUAGCGGAAGAAUAGGAUUACAAUUUACAUUACCAGACAAUAUACGAUAUACGAACGACGCGUCAUAAAAUAUUCUACGAGAAGAUAGUAAGGAUAGUCCUAAAUAACUUAAAAUGUUUAUAUAAUUAUUUUUGUCAUAAAAUAUGUUAAAUUUGUAACAUAAAAAUUUAACAAAAUUA